CAAGGCACAGGGGUCCAGGUUGCCCUGCAAUGUCACCGUCUUCCCCACACACUCCCUGGAAGCAAAGCCAGCGCCACGUUCUGGUAACUGCAUACAUGGCAGCUCCCCCAGCCAACACCCCCACCUCAACCUCAAGGCCUCACCCUUCCAUGGCUUACCGGGCUUUCUUUGGGGCCACUGUCCAGUCAAGCCCAACCACCUCAUAGCCAGCUUGGGCCAGCUCCUCCAGGGCAAAAUGCCCAUCCUUAGCAAAGAUGAUCUGGGCACCAGCCACCACUUGUCCUACCAGAUAUGGGACCAGAGCAUCAGUGAGGAUGCGAAG
rnacentral:lncRNA from 1 species